CCCCAUUUGAGAGCCAGAUCAAAAUUGUUGUGUGCACCGCUGGUGAUGAUAUAAGGCUAACAUUAUAAGCUAAAGGCAAUGCUGCCCUGACAAACAUUUGUAUCACUUGACUCUCUUUGUAUCACAUGGCUCUCCUACAUUUGCCCCUCUAGAGAAAGCACGAGAGAUACCUGGAGAAGUACACCAAGCUAGCUAUUCAGAAAAGGAAGCAUGAGGAAGAUCCGAAUGACCAAGCAACACCCAAGCAGCUGAAACUGUGGGAUACACCUCGUGUAACACAGAAAGAAUUGACAAAGCAACUACAGAGAUGAAAGAGAAUCUCAAGGCGGCGAUGCAUGAUGUGGAGUUCAUAGGGACCACCACUGACUGCUGGACAGCAAACAGAAAGGGCUUCAUCGGUGUCACAGCCCACCGGAUACAUCCUACAAGUCUGCAGCGGUGCUCUGCUGCACUAGCAUGCAAGCAGCUGAAAGGACCACACAACUUCACUGCACUUGCAGAUGCUCUGACUAAGAUCCAUACAGAGUUCAACAUCAGAGACAAGAUUGUGCGUACAACGACAGAUAGUGGGUCCAAUUUUCUGAAAGCCUUCAGAGUGUACGGUG